AACUAGGUAGUCGCGACGUGGCAACCGAUAUGAAACAACAUGGCAAAUACGUCAAAAAAAUGUGGCAACUAAGACCAAAAACAUGGCAAUUAGGUAGUGACGACAUGUCAACUAUGAGCCAACCAACGUGGCAACUAGGUCGUCACAAUCUGGCAACUAGUACCAAACAACAUGUCAAUUAUGGAGCACAUGACAUGACAACGAGGUAGUUUCGAUAUGACAACUAGGAUGAAAUAAUAUAGCAAUUAUAUGUGGACCACACUACAUGAACUCUUCUAAGAUACCCCAAAAUUAAUUUAGACCGUUUAUUUUUUUUAUCUAAUGGCAUUGAUUAGUUGAUAAUAAUACUCCAGUUUAGGCGAAUGGAUCAAUAUCAUCUCAAAACAAGGAGUAUUGAAAGGGCAAGGGCAAAACGAACGUCACUUCUUCCUCUUCCCCUUCACUGGAUUACAGAGAGGAAGGGCUGUUGUGGGCUUGGAGUCGGCGGUGGCGCCGCGCCGAAGGCCAGCAGCAGUGGUGGCGUGCGCUGGGAGGCCGGCGGGCGCGUGCUGGAAGGGAUGAGGCAGCGGCGCGCGCUGGGAGGCCGGCGGGCGCGGCGCGGGCUGGAAGGGUGUGCCCGCGGCGGCACGCGGGUAAGAGCGUCUGCACCGCGGAUUCGGAGAACGGUCGCGGGACGCGCUGGGAGGCCGGCGGCGGCAGCCCAGGAUGGAAGCGCCGCGGUCGUGGCAUGCGCUGGGAGAGCGACGACGGCGGCCUGAAUCCGGAGGACGCACUGCUCCUCACCGCUGCCGCACACACGCGCCCGUCAGUGCCGCCAUGGUGCCCGUCUUCAAGGUGUAAUAGAGGACGCCGGCGCUGGAACCAAACCGUGCGCCACCGCCGCCCGACGCUUCUCCGCCCCUGCCGCCGUCCCACGCUGCUCCUCCGCGCUGCUCGCUAGUAUUUUGGAAUCGCCGGGCCCUGCUCCAAUCGGGAGAACCAGAGAGAGAGAGAGAGGGGUAGAGAGCAAUGGGGAGGGAGAAAGGUCAGGAGAGAGUCCAUCGUGAGAUCUAACGGACCGAAGCGCGCAGUACGGAAAGACUGG
rnacentral:lncRNA from 1 species